rnacentral:tRNA from 1 species
AAAUAAGAAGCAAAAAUUGCAUUUAGUUUCGACCUAAAAAUUUGAUAUAUACACUAUCCUUAUUUU